GAGAGUGAGUGCAUGCACAAGUUGGGGGGAGGGGCAGACAGAGAGGGAGAAGCAGACUCCCCACCAAGCAGGAUGUCCUGCCUGACACAGGGUUUGAUCCCGGGACCCCAGGAUCAUGACCUGAGCCAAAGCCUUAACUGACUGAGCCACCCAGGCAUCCUCAACUUUUCCCAUUUUACAGUCCCACAGCAAUUUGUGCUCCUACUGUUGAACUGUGGGAACCCAGAAUUCAUCAAUCUAUCCAAUUCCCCACUUUACACAGAAAGCAGUAAUUGCAGCUCCAUGGUGAGCAAAGGUACAGCCAGCCCCAAUAAUUCUCUGCUAGAAUCUAAAGUAGGCCAAAUAUGAUCAGCUUCCUUUUUGUCCUUAUGAGUAAGGUAGUGAUUGGGAGAGAUUCUCUGUUGCUUUCCCCAUUGUUACCAGAUAGAAAGAGAACCUUAAGACCACGAAUUUGCCCACACCCAAGAGUGGAUCACUCCUCUAGCAAGUCCCAGCUUCCUUUCUGAUUUGGAGCUGAAUAGCCCAUCUCAGUGACUUCCCUAAUGGAUGUACACUCCUCUUCAAAUUUCUAUGCCCUAACACGUGUUCUCUUCCCUCCUCUGCAUACAUCACCAGAGUGCAAACACUGUUCUUGUUCCAAAUGCAGGUAACAUCAAACCUGUCAGCUUUUCAGGGAGACCUCAAAUAUGUUUUUCUUUUCUAUGAUUCUUCCAGAUAUAACUGCAAUUAUUCUUUCUUUUUUUUUUCCCCAUUCUGACCUUAUGAAGUUACCGUAGGGUGUGCAUGUCUGCAUUUCCACUUACUUUAUUUUCCCUCUUUGAUUUCUUCAAUUUUAUAGCACAGUAUGCAUUUGGGAAACUUUAUACAAAGGGCCCUAAGACCUCAUUUUUCCAAUGCUUCGGGCACAAGCAGAUGCCUGUUUUGCAUUUUAAGUUUACAUUAUAGUUUAGUCCAUCAGAGCAUAAGCCCCAAAAUAACUUGAAUCUAAAAAGCAAUCCAAAUCCCUCUGAACUCAUUUGCCAACUAGAAUUCACCCCCGGAUAAGAGCCAACCAACUUAUUAAGAAAUCAUGGAGCCACUUGGUGUUAUAUCUUGAUGACAAUUCAAAACUAAAUUUAUAGAUACAGAUGCAACUUCUGGCUCAAAUUAUAAGGUAUUAGUAUUCUAUACAGUCUUUUUUCUACUCCCAACUAUAUAAAACUUUAGUUUCUUUGAAGAGUUUAAAAAAAAUUGUGCUUAAAAAUGACAAUAUCCUUUAUAAUAAUAUCUAUCCAGGGUUGGACCAAGAUGUAAGGGAAAGCUUGCAGUUUCUUUUAUGCUAUGAGCUGGUAAGUCUGAAAGACCACCCCCCACCCACCAUAAAAAGCCUUCCCUGGACCUUCCAUGCAGGACUUGAAACAGCCCUCUGUCAAAAGAAUAGGCCAAAGCCCAAGCCAAACCCUAUUAUUCAUUGCAAUUCAGUUCUAGGUAACCAAUAUUUGUAAAACAGUUACUACUCCUCAAGCAGGUGCUAAAGAGAAAGGAGCCUGAGGAGCUAAUAGACCAGCUGGAGAAAAACAUCAGAACAAUUAACAAUAUUUUUAAUUUCUUACAAUGUAGAAAGAGCAAUAUUGGAAAACAUCACAGUGUUAUGGGGCCUCUGAAGGUCAUUGGGAGAAUGGUCUCACAACGGAGAUGAUACUUCAGUGGACUAUGAGGAGUUAGGAGAAUUUCUUCUGGGAAAGGAAGAAGGAAGAACAUGUAAGGAAGAAAGUAUAGCCAUAACCGAAACAGAAAGGCACGACAGAUAAUAAGACAUAUUCUAGUAAAAAAAUUGUCUUCAUUUUCAUGAAAAAAUCUGGAAAAAAUGGACCUUUGGAUGCAUGUAGAAGUGAAGUUAAAAAUAGAGCUGGAAAAGUAAGCUGCGAUCGGCACACAAAGGGCCUUAGAUUCCAUGCCAAGGACUUUCAGCUUUUUCCGAGAGGUAAUAAGGAAAACCUGAGAGGUAUCGAGAAAUGAAGUGACAUCAUGAGGCCUAAAUUUCAGAAAGUUACUCAAAGCAUUGAAAACAAAGAAGCAGAAAAAGACUAGAAUUUAGAGGCAGGAGGAUAUUAAAUGGCUGACCCUGCUUUAACAGGGUGAGGCACUGUAAACUUCCAGAGGAUAGAAUAAGAAAUUAUUAGAGUUGAGCAUAUAGGAUGCAGACCACUGACUUCUGAAGAAGGAAAAGACCGCUUAAAAAGACCUCAGGCAGAGGGUGGAGCCUGAGAGGUGCAGUGGUAAACUGGAAGCAUCCAGUCAGUUGACCUGAAGACAAUUUGCACGGGGCAAAGGUCACUGAGAGGGCAGUAGAGUUUAAAUUUUACAACUUUGAUUUCCCAAGCUUAGAGAAAUCAACAGUUACUAGCUACCAGAUUGUACUAGCUAGUCCUAAAUUAAGGAAGAAGAGGAGGGGGCAUUUAUUGUCGACGAAAUAGGAAAUACAAGUAUUGUUUUACAACAGAAAUUCUGUGAUGUGCUGUAGUAAUGCAACUUGUAUUGGAUUCAUCUUCAUGAAGAGACUGAGUAUGUAAACUGGAUAAACUACGAACAUUAUUAGCUCUCUGAAGUUAGCAGAGAACAAUUACGACAGCCAGAAUGUGAGAAGCCAAGUUCAAGGAGCCAAAGAACCACAGAGAAGUGGUCUUGGAAUCUUGUGCUACUAUUUCCCUCAAAGCAUUAUGCUGAUUCUUAAAUUAUAAUAUCCGCCGCAUGUAGCAGACAAGUAAGGACUAGCAGAGCUGAAUACUCAGAAAAGCUGGGGGAAGAAGCUCAGAAAAGACCAGUGAAGUGUUUUGUUUUUGAGGUCAUGUAGUUCUUGUGAACAAUAUGAUUAGACAUGGUAAACGUUCCUUUAUAAAGUAAAACAACUUUCAAGCAAAACCAGAUUAUGGGGCCCUGAACAAAUUGCAAACAUGAAUUAGAAUUGUUAGAAUUUUGAGCUACUCUGUAAUCCCCCAUGUAGCUCUCCCCCUUUCAAGAUUCCUCACUGCUAAUACUGUGAAAUACUCAGAAAAGAGCAUCCUUCCAAGUUUAAGCCAGUAUCACUGAUCUUCUGUCAGAAAUUUAUAUGCUACACAAAAGCUUUUCAACUCCAUGGAAAGCCCUGGUACAACAGACAUUUUACCUGGCUAAAAUAUUUUUUUAAGUACUGAUAAUUAAACUCCUCAUAUUUAUAUGAGGUACUUUUUAUAGCAAAUCAGCUCUUUAUCUUCUGUAAAUUUAAAUUCAGGUUCAGAUGUAGUUCAGGCAAAUCAAAUUAGGUAAACAAGUAACAAAAUAAUUUAAUUUCCUCAUGUCAUCUCCAUGAUGUAAAUUUAUCAAAAUGAGACUAGGCCAAGGUCGAAGAGAAUCAACCAAUCAAAUUGAGUUAUAAAAGACUUUCUAAAUAUAUUCAAAAUCAGCUAUGGGAUAAAUUCUGAAACUUGAUCUAUGAUAAAAGAGUUGCAUUGUGAAUUCAACCUCAUAUGUUUGCUUAUUUAUAUUUGUCUUGCCACUAAAAGUAUUUAAGUUUCAACAACCAAAAAAAAAAAAGACAGUAUAACAGAGUAUAGAAAUAGGUGUAAAAGAAAACAAAAAUCAAGAGUAAUGGUAUAAAAUAGAGCCAGAACUAAAGAUAACAGAAUGGUUCAAUACAUUGCCCUCUCCGCUAAUAAAAUAAGCCACACAUUUACUCUCAGCUUUUGUGCAGGCCGUUAGAAAAGGAAAAACUGAUCCAUUGCAGAAUUCAGUGUUCCCAGUGGAGAAUCCCAUUUUAAGAAUAAAACACAGUAUAUUCUGAUACAAAGACUAGGAGGUCAUGUUUUCCUCACUUGUCUUCAUCAAGUGGGCACCAUGUAACAUAGCAACUAACAAUUAUCAUCUGUGCAAUACACAAAAUGGAGAACUUUGCAACCCUCAUCACAGGCUAAUAGGUCAAAUGCCCAACUAGAUUUUACUAUUCUGUGUGUAUUGAUUAGUUACUUUGACAUGAUGCAAAAUAGGAUGUGUGUAGUGGAAAAAUACUGCAAACAGAAGGAGGCUCAGGCACCAACUGAAUCUGUUACCUUGGAAAGGCACUUAAACUUUCUGUGUUACAGUUUUCCAGUCUGUAAAGUCACAGGACUGAUUUCUAAGGUUCUUUCCAGCUCAUAAUUUCUAUGUUUCUAAGAAAGAAACCACGUGACUUACUGCAAACUUGAGAGUUGAUAAUAAGAGUAAAAUGCCUUUCACUCUCUCCGUCUGCAAAGUCAUUGUGAAACAAAGUGAGAAAGACUGCUCUCUCUAGAAUAAAACAGAAACUGUCCCCACGUCUUGCUUGGUAAAACAUGAAAGUAUCUGAGACACUUCUUUACAAAAAUUAUUAACAAUUUAUAAGUAGAUGUAGCCACAUCAUUAAUAAUGAUGUACAUGGUUUUUACUGGCAUCAACACACAAGUACCCAGCAACCCUCAAGACACACUGAACUUGAACUCACUAAGGUUUGUGAAGGAAGUGGAAAUAAAAUCUCCAUAAAAAAGCAACUAUUUUAUGAGCAUGAACUAUGUACAAUUCAUUAUUCUGGACAUUGUGGAAAAUAUCAACAAACACAGAUAAAGUAGAAGCUUCCAAGUCUCUUUUUAGUAUUAUUUCUUUCACUUGCUACUGAUAGGAUUUUUUUUAUUAAAAUACUUAUUUAUUCAUUUGAGGGAGAGGAAGAGAGAAAGAGAGCAAGAGAGAGCAUGAGCAGUGAUGUAAGGGAGAAGCAGGCUCCCCACUGAGCAGGGAGCCUAAUGCAGGGCUCCAUCCCAGGACCCUGGGAUCACAACCUGAGCUGAAGGCAGAUGCUUAACCAACUGAGCCACCCAGGUGGCCCCCUGAUAGGAUAUUUUUUAGAGAGUUAUUUAGAUUCUCCAUUUAACAUAAUGCAGUACUUUUUAAUUUUUAGUAAAUAGUGAAUAUAAAAAUCAAAAUUGGUGCCAAAAAAUAAUUCAAAAAUUUUGUUUGCAUUUUUUGUUGUAAAAGAUACAAGAAUAAAAUGAAACCCUUUUUGAUUUAAUGAGCAUUUGUCUGAGUCCUUUGGAUUUUUAAUCCCAUACAUUAUACUGUAAUUACGCCAUUAUUGUUUGAGAAACCAUUAUUGGCUUGUCAGGCUAAAUAUUUGAAAUGGCAGAAGCCUUUUACAUUGCAUAUAAAAUCUGUAUCUUGUUUUAUCUCAAAUAAAAAAACAAGGGAAAACUUGCAAUCUUUCAUAGCUAGUAUUCCUAUAGUAAAUGUAAUCCAUGGGUAAAGAGUCUGGAAAUAAAUUGGGCCAUGGGUGCCCAAUAGGAAGCUCUCUGUGUCCUACAUUUGUGGCUAAAAAUCAUAUAGAACAUAGUCCAAACAUAAUGGACACUUUUCACAGGCCUGUUUCUUUCAUACUUGCCCUACAGCUCAAUGUACUUGCCUUUUACUUCUUGAAAUUUGGCAAGAUAGAGACAGGAAGCAUUCAGACACAAGUGAGAUCAAAAUCCUUCCAUUCAUUCUCUAUGAUAAAUUUUAUUCUCCAUAAAGAAUAAAUUCAGUGAUGGUCAAUACUCAACCUCUUGGCUUAGGUCUAAAUCCCUCCUUUCCUAUGUUCUAACUUUUUACCUCAGGAUAUAUGCCUUUGUCUUUCUAGACCUCAGUCUUCCUCAACUUUGGCCUUCUGAUUGGCUUUCUAGCUCUUCCCAAAUUCCUUCAUUUGGACAGUUCUUCCUUAAUCCUGUAUCUGUGGACCCUACACUAAAAGGAUAAAAAACAAGACAAUUAUUAACUUUAUACAUAUCUUGGUCAUAGUCACUUGCCAAAAAGAAAAAUGCUGAAGUUUAAAGUUGGCUGAAAUGAAAACAGGAAUUUGGACCAGAAGUAAAAAAUAACUAAAAUAUAGAUUGAAGAUUUGCUUUCAUCAAACAAGAAAUGCUUUCAUU
rnacentral:lncRNA from 1 species